UUCGAAGCAACGCGAAGAACCUUACCAAAUCUUGACAUCCUUUGACCGCUCUAGAGAUAGAGUCUUCCCCUUCGGGGGACAAAGUGACAGGUGGUGCAUGGUUGUCGUCAGCUCGUGUCGUGAGAUGUUGGGUUAAGUCCCGCAACGAGCGCAACCCUUAAGCUUAGUUGCCAUCAUUAAGUUGGGCACUUUAGGUUGACUGCCGGUGACAAACCGGAGGAAGGUGGGGAGGACGUCAAAUCAUCAUGCCCCUUAUGAUUUGGGCUACACACGUGCUACAAUGGAUAAUACAAAGGGCAGGGAAUCCGGGAGGCCAAGCAAAUCCCAUAAAAUUAUUCUCAGUUCGGAUUGUAGUCUGCAACUCGACUACAUGAAGCUGGAAUCGCUAGUAAUCGUAGAUCAGCAUGUUACGGUGAAUACGUUCCCGGGUCUUGUACACACCGCCCGUCACACCACGAGAGUUUGUAACACCCGAAGCC
rnacentral:rRNA from 1 species